UACGUAGGGUGCGAGCGUUAAUCGGAAUUACUGGGCGUAAAGCGUGCGCAGGCGGUUCGUUGUGUCGGCGGUGAAAGCCCCGGGCUCAACCUGGGAAUGGCCGUUGAAACUGGCGAACUGGAGUGUGGCAGAGGGGGGUGGAAUUCCGCGUGUAGCAGUGAAAUGCGUAGAGAUGUGGAGGAACACCAGUGGCGAAGGCGACUUUCUGGCCUAUAACUGACGCUGAGGCGCGAAAGCGUGGGGGAGCAAACAGG
rnacentral:rRNA from 1 species